CUCCACCGGGAAAAGAGGAGUGGCGAACGGGUGAGUAACACGUGGGUAACCUGCCCAUCAGAAGGGGAUAACACUUGGAAACAGGUGCUAAUACCGUAUAACAAUCGAAACCGCAUGGUUUCGUUUUGAAAGGCGCUUUACGGUGCCGCUGAUGGAUGGACCCGCGGUGCAUUAGCUAGUUGGUGAGGUAACGGCUCACCAAGGCCACGAUGCAUAGCCGACCUGAGAGGGUGAUCGGCCACAUUGGGACUGAGACACGGCCCAAACUCCUACGGGAGGCAGCAGUAGGGAAUCUUCGGCAAUGGACGAAAGUCUGACCGAGCAACGCCGCGUGAGUGAAGAAGGUUUUCGGAUCGUAAAACUCUGUUGUUAGAGAAGAACAAGGGUGAGAGUAACUGUUCACCCCUUGACGGUAUCUAACCAGAAAGCCACGGCUAACUACGUGCCAGCAGCCGCGGUAAUACGUAGGUGGCAAGCGUUGUCCG
rnacentral:rRNA from 1 species